rnacentral:rRNA from 1 species
GGAUUGCAGUCUGCAACUCGACUGCAUGAAGCCGGAAUCGCUAGUAAUCGCGGAUCAGAAUGCCGCGGUGAAUACGUUCCCGGGUCUUGUACACACCGCCCGUCACACCAUGGGAGUCGGAAAUGCCCGAAGCCGGUGGCCUAACCGAUAAGGGAGGAGCCGUCGAAGGCAGGUCUGAUGACUGGGGUGAAGUCGUAACAAGGUAUC